rnacentral:rRNA from 1 species
CCUACGGGUGGCUGCAGUGAGGAAUAUUGGUCAAUGGACGAGAGUCUGAACCAGCCAAGUAGCGUGAAGGAUGACUGCCCUAUGGGUUGUAAACUUCUUUUAUAUGGGAAUAAAAUGUUCCACGUGUGGGAUUUCGUAUGUACCAUAUGAAUAAGGAUCGGCUAACUCCGUGCCAGCAGCCGCGGUAAUACGGAGGAUCCGAGCGUUAUCCGGAUUUAUUGGGUUUAAAGGGAGCGUAGGCGGAUUGUUAAGUCAGUUGUUAAAGUUUGCGGCUCAACCGUAAAAUUGCAGUUGAAACUGGGAGUCUUGAGUACAGUAGAGGUAGGCGGAAUUCGUGGUGUAGCGGUGAAAUGCUUAGAUAUCACGAAGAACUCCGAUUGCGAAGGCAGCGCACUGGACUGCAACUGACACUGAGGCUCGAAAGUGUGGGUAUCAAACAGGAUUAGAUACCCUAGUAGUC